rnacentral:rRNA from 1 species
ACCCUGCGAGUAGAGUGGCGAACGGGUGAGUAACACAUCGGAACGUACCCRGGAGUGGGGGACAACCUCGAGAAAUCGAGGCUAAUACCGCAUACGUCCUGAGGGAGAAAGCGGGGGAUCCGUAAGGACCUCGCGCUCAUGGAGCGGCCGAUGUCGGAUUAGCUAGUUGGCGGGGUAAAAGCCCACCAAGGCUACGAUCCGUAGCUGGUUUGAGAGAACGACCAGCCACACUGGGACUGAGACACGGCCCAGACUCCUACGGGAGGCAGCAGUGGGGAAUUUUGGACAAUGGGGGCAACCCUGAUCCAGCCAUGCCGCGUGAGUGAAGAAGGCCUUCGGGUUGUAAAGCUCUUUCGGCCGGAACGAAAUCGCGUACGUGAAUAACGUGCGUGGAUGACGGUACUGGAAGAAGAAGCACCGGCUAACUACGUGUUCGUG